rnacentral:rRNA from 1 species
UACAGAGAGUGCAAGCGUUAAUCGGAAUUACUGGGCGUAAAGCGCGCGUAGGUGGAUAUGUAAGUCGGAUGUGAAAUCCCCAGGCUUAACCUGGGAAUUGCGACCGAUACUGCUUAUCUUGAGUAUGGUAGAGGGAAGUGGAAUUUCCGGUGUAGCGGUGAAAUGCGUAGAUAUCGGAAGGAACACCAGUGGCGAAGGCGGCUUCCUGGACCAAUACUGACACUGAGGCGCGAAAGCGUGGGGAGCAAACAGG